UAAAAACAGAUAAAAUGAGUCAAUAAUUCUAUACAGUAAGAUUAUAGAGAUCUGUGUUUUAAUUACAGAUGCUAGUGUCUCGAUCUGUGCUCAGAUUUGCUCCUGAGAUCUCGUCUAAGACUCAAGUGAGAUUACUGGAGACUUUUACUCAGGAGAAACAUCUGAGAAGCAGGUCCGUCGAGAGAUCUGCGCUCCAAACAAAUCGCUCGUCCUCUUCACUGAAGCUCGGCUCCAGCGUCUUCUGUGUUUCUUCAACUCGGGCCGGAUGUUAACUGAUGGACUGGAGUGCUGUGGAUUACUUGUGGAUUAUUGUGAUGUUUUUAUCAGCUGUUUGGACUCUCAUUCUGACGGCACCCAUUCACUGCAGAGCAUCCAUUGCUGAGACACUGAUGCAGUGCUACAUUUCUACAAACCUGAUGAAGAAACAAACUCAUCCUGAUCUCUGAUGAUCUGAGGGUGAACACGCAUAAUUAAAAUAAUCAUAGAACAGACCUGAAAGAAUCACUGGAGGAAGCUUUAUUAUGGAUUAUAGACUCUAUGUAUUUGAGUUAAAAACGUCUUAAUGCUGGAUUUGUUUCAUCUUUUGUCUUCUCCAGAUGUUAACUGAUGGACUGGAGUGCUGUGGAUUACUUGUGGAUUAUUGUGAUGUUUUUAUCAGCUGUUUGGACUCUCAUUCUGACGGCACCCAUUCACUGCAGAGCAUCCAUUGCUGAGACACUGAUGCAGUGCUACAUUUCUACAAACCUGAUGAAGAAACAAACUCAUCCUGAUCUCUGAUGAUCUGAGGGUGAACACAUAUACAGCACAAUCUUUAUUUUUGGGUGAACUAUUCCUUUAAGAGAGCUUGAGGUUUCAGCAUGACUGAUUUUGCGUUUUAUCCACUGGGUUUCAAGGGUGGGUGAUUGAACGUCUAGUUCACUCACACAUGUAAACACAAGCAGCUUCGGCCCGAGGGAGUUGAGUCUCACGCGAGCCGCUUCACUGUGUGCUGCUGCAUGCAACGGGAACGACGCCAGCGACCGCAAGAGCCUCUCUCCAGAGACACACGGAGAGAGAGAGAGAGAGAGAGAGAGAGAGAGAGAGAGUAGUCUGGAAUAAGAGGCAGGGAUAUUUUGCAAUUAUUCAGCCUUUCUCUGCUAUCCCAGAGGGCAAGCUC
rnacentral:lncRNA from 1 species